GUCAGUCCCAGUCAGCACACAGCAUGGACAUGAAGGCCCCUGCUCAGCUUCUGGGGUUCCUGCUGCUCUUGCUCCCAGGUACCAGUUGUGACAUCCAGAUGACCCUGUCUCUAUCCUCCCUGUCUGCAUCUCCAGGAGACACAGUCACCAUCUCCUGCAGAGUCAGUCAGAGUAUUCUAAGGGUAUUAAACUGGUAUCAGCAGAAACUAGGGAAUUCCCCAAAGCUCCUGAUCUAUUACACGUCAAGGCUAGCCUCUGGGGGCCCAUCCAGGUUUAGUGGCAGUGGAUCUGGUACAGAUUAUUCUCUUACCAUCAGCAGCCUUCAGCCUGAAUAUUUUACUACUUAUUACUAUAAACAGCAUAUCAGUUACCCUCCCCCAGUGAUAAUAAAAACUUCCCAGGAAAACAGAAGCUCCACUGGAGACAUUGUUCUGACUCCAACUCCUGCAUCUCUGGCCCUGUCUCCUCAAGAUAUGGCCAUCAUCAUCUGCAGAGCCAGUGAGAAUGCUGAUAAUGAAUUUUAG